rnacentral:rRNA from 1 species
UACGGAGGGUGCGAGCGUUGUCCGGAAUCACUGGGCGUAAAGGGCGCGUAGGUGGCCGAGCAAGGUCGCGGUGAAAGCCCGGGGCUCAACCCCGGGUCGGCCGUGGCAACUACUUGGCUUGAGCACUGUAGGGGCGGGUGGAAUUCCGGGUGUAGCGGUGGAAUGCGUAGAUAUCGGGAGGAACACCUAUGGCGAAGGCAGCUCGCUGGGACGUUACUGACGCUGAGACGCGAAAGCGUGGGGAGCAAACAGG